rnacentral:misc_RNA from 1 species
AACGCACAUUGCACUCCUUGGUAUUCCGAGGAGUAUGCCUGUUUCAGUAUCAUGAGCACUCUCACACCUAACCUUUGGGUUAUGUCGUGGAAUUGGGAUGCGCCGAUUUUUACUAGUCGGCACUCCUAAAAUGUAGCUCUUGGCUGUUUCCUAUUACAGCAGUUUGGCCUAAUAGUUUUGACUUUUGUCAAAUCUUUGGCUACAUUUGCUUCUGGAAAUCAGUCUUGAUAAUACAGAAAACUCAUUUCAAACUUUGAUCUGAAAUCAGGUAGGGCUACCCGCUGAACUUAA